AGUUGCUUUAUGACGCCGGGCGCGUGCGCAUUUAAAACAAUUCUCGAAAGAAAUGUUCACAAAUUAGUUUAAAUUCGAAAACGUUUCGGUAUGGACGCAAGAAAAAGGAAUUCUAAGAAAUAGAAAUUCUAAGCGAAACAACAACGAAAAAGGAAAAUAAUUUAAAUAGGGAUAAUAAUAUACAAAAACAUAACAACAAAAACACAACGGUAUUAAGGAAUCUGUUUCAGAAUUUCAGUGAGUUAAAUCUGUUAAAAAGUUCUGCGGUUAAUUUGUUUGUUUCUUUAACAAAAAACGUAAUCUAAUAUUUUAAUUAUUAUCAUCAGCUCAGCAGCAGUGUAGAAUAUAUUGGCCUAAAAUACUAGAUAUUUUAUGUUAAUAUAUUAAAUUCGAGUGACUUACGUCACCCAAGAUUUUGUACAUUUUCAAGCGAUUUCAGAUUACCAUUUGGCUAUGAGGAUCAGACAGUUUUAGUUAACUACUCCUAAAAAAAUAUCAGAGGACAAUUAUCUGAGGAAUGAAUCGCUUUGAAGUAGUACACUUUGAAACUACAUUUAUUCAUUUUGUGUAGCUUGUCUGUGGGCUAAAAUAUAUUUCGGCUAAAAAGUAGGCAAUACUACUUUUAUCAGUUGACCCAAGACUUUGGUAUUUCACCAUUUGUUUUUUUUUCUUUUUUUAAAUAAUUUAUUAAACGAAAUUAUUUAACGGACUAGCGUACUAUUGCCCUUUUUAGACAACCUAAUCUAAUCGGUAUCAAUUUAAACGAUUCUUAAUAUCUAAGUUUUUUACAAAGAUUAUAUGAAUUUGAGUAUUAAAGAAAUUGAAUGUUUAGGCAAUAAUAUUUAGAAGAUUAUUAUUAAGUAGUAUUUAUGACAAGUCCCGGGGGGUAUUUAUAUGGUUUUUUAAUAGAUAGGGUCUUCGUAUUUUGUAUGAAUAGAAUAUUUAAUAGUACUUGUGGAAGUAAAAUUUUCACCAUCUUUGUACUGAAUAUCACUGUAUUCAAGGAAAACGUGGGAAAGUUGUUUCCCUUUUUGCUGUAUUUAGAAGUUCUAAUCUGAAUACGUUAAAUUCUCUGAACUCGCCGUCUAAGGCGUAGUUAGAGGAUGUUACUAGAAGGAUGUCUUUUAAGUAAGGGGUAAUAAGAGGGUUUUCCUCAGAUUUAGAAGUCUUGGGACACUCAUAGGUA
rnacentral:lncRNA from 1 species